AGGGUCUGACUCCGGAGAGGGAGCCUUAGAAACGGCUACCAUGUCUAAGGAUAGCAGCAGGCGCGAAAAUUACCCAAUAUCAAUACGAUGAGGUAGUGACGAGAAAUAACGAGUCCGUUCUCUCUGAGGUCGGACAUUGGAAUGGGUACAAUCUAGACAAUUUAACGAGUAUCUACGAGAGGGCAAGUCUGGUGCCAGCAGCCGCGGUAAUUCCAGCUCUCGUAAUACAUAGAAUUAUUGUUGCGGUUAAAAAGUUCGUAGUUGAUUAGCGAACCGUUCGGGGUGCAUCCUAACGGGUGUCACUCGUCGGACGGUAUUUUGUGCGUUUGUGCACGGCGACUUUCGGGUUGCUCGUGUGCUGCGUGCAGGAUUACUUUGAACGGCUUAAGUGCUCAAGGCGGGUCUUACGACCGAAUACCGGUGC
rnacentral:rRNA from 2 species